rnacentral:rRNA from 1 species
GUGUCAGCCGCCGCGGUAAUACGUAUGGUGCGAACGUUGUUCGGAAUCACUGGGCCUAAAGAGCGCGUAGGCGGCCAAGCAAGUCAGAUGUGAAAUACCUCGGCCUAACCGAGGAACUGCAUUUGAAACUGCAUGGCUUGAGUACAGGAGGGGAGAGUGGAAUUCCUGGUGGAGCGGUGAAAUGCGUAGAUAUCAGGAGGAACGCCGGUGGCGAAAGCGGCUCUCUGGUCUGUUACUGACGCUGAGGCGCGAAAGCUAGGGGAGCAAACGGGAUUAGAAACCCCAGUAGUCC